CUCACAUUCACUUGUAAAGUAUUCAGGCUCAAUGCUGUGGCCAAACGGAUCUAAAAACAUCGCAGGCUCUAAUAGAUGUAUGUUUCUGUGGUUUGGUUGUGUGAUUCACCGGAAAUGCUAUCUGUGGUAUUCUGAGAAGCAGUUCGGCAAAAUGAUACGUGAGUACAUCAAAGUUCACUUAGACAAGCAUCUUCUUUGGAGUCGGUCUUAUAGGAUUGUUCUUCAUCAUGGCUGGACGCCUGCUGUUUGUCACCCUCAUGUAUUCCUGUGCCAAUACUAAAACACAAGCUCGUCCUCAACUCAUAAUGAAUUCAGCGGUGAUCUCAGAGACGGAAACAGUCACAUUGGACUGUCGAGCUCCAUCAUAUCCUACUGUCCACCAGUGUUAUUUCACCAUUAUCGGAGCAAAACAUGCCAAAGGCUUCACUUGUGUGCAGACACUGACAGGAACUGAACUGUUGAGGAUGUCAGACCAGAGAGCACCUGCUGAGGUUAAAGUGGAUUGUUAUUACACUGUAAUGGUUGGAGACGUGAAUCAUCCAUCUGCACACAGUGUCACAUCAUCCAUCACAAUCCAAAAUGUUGUCAAGUCGAGCACGACGCAGACUAAGACGGCAUCUGCUGUGACCACAGCAGGUCUUUGUGCUUCCAGGCCUGUAACUACUGUAAAGCAAACAUCAGCAGGUCUCAGUGCUUCCAGGCCUGUAACUCGUAUAAAGCAAACACCAGCAGAUCAAACCUUUGGACCAAGAAACUCUGGUAGUUUUAGUUCUCCUCCCCUCACAACAGACAAACCAACAUCAGAUGUUGUCGAGUCGAGCACGACGCAGACUAAGCCGGCAUCUACUGUGACCACAGCAGGUCUCAGUGCUUCCACGCCUGUAACUCGUAUAAAGCAAACAUCAGCAGAUCAAACCUUUGGACCAAGAAACUCUGGUAGUUUUAGUUCUCCUCCCCUCACAACAGACAAACCAACAUCAGAAAUGCAGAGAUGGAUGUUCAUGGUGAUUGCGAUUUGUUUGGGAGGUUUUUUCUCUAUUUCCUUACUGGGACUGGGCCUUCUGUGUAGCAAAAGAACAUUGGGUAAGAACUUGACUUUUGUGUCAGAUAUGAACUGUCAAAGAAUUUGAGCAGAGGGUCAAAGAGACCCUUUUGAACACAACUUGCAUGUAACUCUGUUUAGAGAACAGCAUCGUUUACCACAUUUGCAUUAAUGUGAUUGGAUGUUAGUAGUUCCUCACCUGUAAGUAUUCCAGAGAGAGCUAAUGCCAAAACAAGCACAACUUCCAAGGAAACUGCCUCAUGUAACAAUAUGCUUUUCUCUCUCUUAUAUUUUUCAGAAAUAAGUUCUUACAGGAGGUCACAAGCUGAUGUCACUGGUUCUGUGAAACUGGAGGAGCAAACACUUACACAUGAGAACCACGCCAUGUUCCAAAUAUACGCCAAUAUCCCCAACGAGCCACCUGCAUCAGCCAAACAGGACGCAGUGUAAAGCAACCUGAAGCCACAUUGAAACACAAGCAUUUUAUACUGUGUAGAGGAACGGUUGGGCGGACAGUCAAAACAUUUUUUUUUAAAUCAGUUUCUUUUACAUUUUUUAAACAUAAUAUUGUUUGUGAAAUUGCAAUGCAAAUUGUAACUGUAACAAACGACAGGUCUCAGCUGGCUUUAAGAUAAUGUUAGCACACUUCAUAUUUUGUUUUACAGGGAGAAAAGAUUUUAGAAUUUUGACAUAGAAAUACAAACAACUGAUGUUUCUUAUGUUUUGCAGUUAAGCUGCAAAAGUUGCAAUCGUCACCAUUAUUAUUUUGUGAAGUUGGAGGCUGUUGAUUAGCACCACAUUGUAGACAACUUCUUUCUCUUCAAAGUCAAAAUAGUAUAAGCUUGCUUCUUUAGUACUUGUAACACAAUGCCUGCUCAAUUAAACAAAUACAAAAAUAAGAUGACCGUGUGUUCUGGUUAUAUUUUCUUUUUCUGGGGGGCCGCUUCCCAGCUGGAAAUCGUGUACUUGCUAGCGAGAAUUAACUGGUAUCUAUUAGCAAUGCUGAAUACCGCCUAUAAUCAUCCUACCUUGCCUCAUGUCGGAAUGAUGAAUGACUACGAAACCUCGGCCAUGAACUCCCCAAAUACAGACAGUCAGGACAAAAAUGGAAUAACAGCAUGUGAUCUGAGGGCCGACCAUGAGCACGCUGAGUGUGUGAAUAGGUGCAAGCAAUUUGUGACCAAAUGAGGAACAAACUCUCACAUUCACUUAUAAAGUAUUCAGGCUCAAUGCUGUAGCCAAACGGAUGUAAAAACAUCGCAGGCUCUAAUAGAUGUAUGUUUCUGUGGUUUGGUUGUGUGAUUCACCGGAAAUGCUAUCUGUGGUAUUCUGAGAAGCAGUUCUGCAAAAUGAUACAUUCCUGUGCCAAUACUAAAACACAAGCUCGUCCUCAACUCAUAAUGAAUUCAGCGGUGAUCUCAGAGACGGAAACAGUCACAUUGGACUGUCGAGCUCCAUCAUAUCCUACUGUCCACCAGUGUUAUUUCACCAUUAUCGGAGCAAAACAUGCCAAAGGCUUCACUUGUGUGCAGACACUGACAGGAACUGAACUGUUGAGGAUGUCAGACCAGAGAGCACCUGCUGAGGUUAAAGUGGAUUGUUAUUACACUGUAAUGGUUGGAGACGUGAAUCAUCCAUCUGCACACAGUGUCACAUCAUCCAUCACAAUCCAAAAUGUUGUCAAGUCGAGCACGACGCAGACUAAGACGGCAUCUGCUGUGACCACAGGUCUUUGUGCUUCCAGGCCUGUAACUACUAUAAAGCAAACAUCAGAUCAAACCUUUGGACCAAGAAACUCUGGUAGUUUUAGUUCUCCUCCCCUCACAACAGACAAACCAACAUCAGAAAUGCAGAGAUGGAUGUUCAUGGUGAUUGCGAUUUGUUUGGGAGGUUUUUUCUCUAUUUCCUUACUGGGACUGGGCCUUCUGUGUAGAAAAAGAACAUUGGGUAAGAACUUGACUUAUGUGUCAGAAAUCAUUGAGUUAUUCUUUGCUCCCUGCUGCUUGAUGAACUGACAAAGAAUUUGAGCAGAGGGUCAAAAGAGGCACUAAAGACCCUUUUGAACACAACUUGCACAUAACUCUGUUUAGAGAACAGCAUCGUUUACCACAUUUGCAUUAAUGUCAUUGGAUGUUAGUAGUUCCUCACCUGUAAGUAUUCCAGAGAGAGCUGGACUUCCAAGCAAACUGCCUUAUGUAACAAUAUGCUUUUCUCUCUGUUGUGUUUUUCAGAAAGAUGUUCUUAUAAGAGGUCACAAGCUGAUGUCACUGGUAAUAUGCACACGUAGUCAGACAUCAUCACUGAAUUAUUUCUAUACACAUUUAGAAUGUGGUCUUUCUGUUCUGUCACAUUUGCAGGUUCUGUGAAACUGGAGGAGCAAACAUUUACAAAUGAGAAUCCCAUAUACCAUCUCUACUCCACUAUCCCCGACGAGCCGCCUGCAUCAGCCCAGGAGGAAGCGAUGUACAGCUACCUGCAGCCACAGUUGAAGCACUAGCCUUUUAUACUGUAGAGAAACUGUUUGAGCGGAAAGUCUUCUUUAAUCCAUUUAUUUUACAUUUUUUAAACAUAAUAUUCUUUGCAAAAAUGCAAUGCCAAUUGUAACUAAUGAACAACAGGUCUCAGCUGGGUGGCACACUUGAUAUUUUGUUUUACAGGGAGAAAAGAUUAUUGAAUUUUUAUAUUGAAUUACAGAGAAUGGACGUUUACUUUUUGCAAUUGUUGAAUAUGUGCAAAGGUUUCAUUUUGUGAAGUUGGAGGCUGUUGAUUAGCACUACAUUGUAGACAGCUUCUUCUUUCUCUUUAAAGAUUCAAGUCAAAGAUGGGUCAGGAUUUUCUUCUGCAUGCUGUCAUAAAACAGCAUAAGCUUGCUUCUUUAGGACCUGUAACACGAUGCCUGCUCAAUAGAAUUAAACAAUUAAAAAAAUAAG
ensembl:lncRNA